UACGAGGGGGGCAAGCGUUGUUCGGAAUUAUUGGGCGUAAAGGGCGCGUAGGCGGUGCGGUAAGUCACCUGUGAAACCUCUAGGCUCAACCUAGAGCCUGCAGGCGAAACUGCCGUGCUUGAGGGUGGGAGAGGUGCGUGGAAUUCCCGGUGUAGCGGUGAAAUGCGCAGAUAUCAGGAAGAACACCAAUGGCGAAAGCAGCUUUCUGGGACGGUACUGACGCUGAGACGCGAAAGCGUGGGGAGCGAACAGG
rnacentral:rRNA from 1 species